rnacentral:lncRNA from 1 species
GUUCAGCUUCAUUCCUUUCCUCUCUCGCCACUUUGUGAUAUAUUUACAUCCACUUUUCUUUAAGUAAUUCACCCCUAAUUCUAUAAAGCCGCCCUGUUUUAAGUAUUGUAACCCUUGAUCACUGAUACCAUGUCCGACUGACGUAGGACCCCGUAACGUAUGUCAAGGUUCUGCCUAAACUCGUUGGGAUUCUGUCUCGUGACGUAGGGAUAAAGUGUAAUUGGGUUACUAUAUUUAAUGUGAGUGCACUAUAUAUUUUAUUAGAUAACCCAGGAGUUAUACCCAAAAUAUAACAACUCUCCUAAAACACCCCUGACACCCCUACACUUCCUGAAAUACAUCCCAUACGUGAAAACCGAGUCCGAAUUAUAAUAUAGUAUUAAAAAUAAAUGGAAAACAAGAAAAAGUAAGUUGAGGCGGGCCGCGUAGACCCACCCCAAACUUAACGCGGGCCGUGUGAGGGUGUAACUGAACUCCGCUGAAUUCUUUAGUUCAUGCGGGCCGCGUAAGGCCACACCGUUAGUUUAUGCGGGCCGCGAGUGUCCCAAUUGGUGGCGCAGCCCGGUGAUGACACGUGUCAUCAUCGUGGCAAGGCUAGAUCAUGACCAGGACAAGCUACGCGUUGACCCAGUAUUGACGCGGGCCGCGUAAGCCUUGCCUGUUCUUUACGCGGGCCGCGUGGGAACCAGUUUCAGCAACUAUAUAAGGAACGCAUCGGAUUUCAAUUCAGUUCGCUCAUUUCUCAAUUCUCAAUCACAAUUUCUGUAGAAGGCUUAUUAUACUCGGGUAUUAUACCCCCUAAUUAGCGAAGCUCUGCCUCGUUACUAUAACCAGGGAAUCACAAAGGAAAGCCCUAUAAUAGCAAUGUGAGUUGAUCCACUUUUUGUUAAAUGCUUUUACAAAACCUUACAUACUUUUCCAUGCGAAUGACAGUUAUUGAGUAUUUGUAAGAAUACAAUUAUCGUGGGUAUGUUGGGGUUUUGUAUACAAAAUUUGUUACAACCUGGUUAUGGAGUAACAUUACCACAAGUCGGGUGUCGACAGUACCACGGGUGAUAAUUGAUAUAACUUGGAAACAAAUGUAAUUGCGGAUGCGCCUAGGGGUGCUAAACGGGUCGUGUUCGCGGGUUGGCGGGUUCAACCCGACCCGAACCCGAAAAUUUUACACAAACCCGAACCCGACCCGGACCCGAAAAUCGUGUCAUACAUAAGAACCCGAACACGACCCGAAGUUUUGUGGGUUAACCUGAACACGACCCGUUCAACCCGAAUUUUUUUAUUUUUUUCUGAAAUUAAGAUAUUAAAAUUAAAAUUUAACUUAAAAAACACAAAUGUAUAUAAUGAUAUCAUACUUAAAUUAUAAAAUCUAUGUUAAUUUCUCUUUUUAAGUUAUAAUCAUUGCAUAAAAUACACACCCUAUUUAAUUUAUGACAUAAAAUAUAUUGUAAAAAAAUAUAAUAUAGUAUAAAUGUGUUAAACGGGUCAACCCGCCAACCCGACCGGGUUGACCCGAACCCGACCCGUUAACAUAAACGGGUUCGCGGGUUCAACCUGAAACUGACCCGAACCCGUUUAGACUAAACCUAAACCCGCGAAUUUCGUGUUAGGUUCGUGUCGGGUUUUCGGGUCGUGUCAGAAAUUCACGCCCCUAGAUGCGCCCUCAAUACUGUUCACUGUGACUUUUUAUUUAAACUUGAUUAAACUGGGAUUCACUCACCAGUAUUUCCUGCUGAUAAAAUGUUUUAAACACGUGUUUCAGGUAACUUAGUGUGAAGCCAAUAAAAGCCAGCUGGAGAGCACUGAAGGCUUGGAAAAGUGGCUAUAAAGUUACCUAAAAUAAAAUAGAUGUUUUUAUUAAUAAAAAUAGGAUUUAUUCCUAUGAAAGUGUUGAAAACUUGGGUUUUACCCAUGUGUUUAAUAUUAUGAAAAUAUGGUGGUUUUACUCUGAUAAAAAUAUUUCCUAACUACGGUCCUGAUGAAAAUUUCCGCUGCCAAAUUAGACCAUACGCGAUACCACCGACACUGGUUCACGGCCGCCCGUUCCUGUGUUUGUAUAAGGGAUCGGGGGUUGUGACAGAAGGUGGUAUCAGAGCUAUGCCACUGGUUCAAGCCAAAGAAGUGUUCUGCUGACACUUAAGUUUUAAAUUAUGUGUUAGGAAAUUUAUGUGUUAUUCUGUAGUAUGAGUAACCAAUAUCACUAGACGUACCCAUAGGCUACCUCGGCAGAUGUAUUAUACUACACUCUUAUACAAUUAGUAACUUAAGGUAUCACCUUGAGUGAGAUCUCUUCUUAAAUAAAUGAAUGUACUGUAAUAUAUAUAUAUAUGUGUGUAUAUACUACUAUGUGUAUAUCAACCUUACUAAGAAAUAUUAAUACACGUUCAUUUUGUAAAAAUAUUCAUAGUUCAUGGGUAUAAAUUUUAGAUAUUAAAUCUAAAAUCAUAAUUUAUGGUAAACUUACGUAAGAAAUCGAAUAACAUUAUGUAUCCACCUUAGAUAAAUAAAAGUAUGUUAUUUUAGUUGAUUCAUAGACUUCAUGAUCUAUCCUUAUGAAUGGUGGUAUAGAUUAUGGUAAAUUCCUAAAUUAACCUUAAAUCCAGAAAUCGUGUUAAUGUACAAUAUUAAUUGUAUGUAAAAUAAUAUGCACGUUGUAGUAUAGUAUACUUCUAAUAAACAUACGUUAUAAUACACUAUUAAAAAAAAAGUCAAGAGAAAAUAAAGAAAAUAAAGAAGUCACAACCAAAGGGAGUAAUAAUGCACAAACUCAUGAAAUAGACAGUAACCCACUAGGGAAAAAUGAAUUUGAUAAACAAUGGGUAAAUUUCCAUAUGUUAGCCACUACAGCAGUAAAUAUUAACUUAUAUUAGAUAGUUGAAUCGCCAAACCAGUACCCGCACCCAUGCCACCUAUGAGCCAGAAAUUUUAAAGAAAUUUUGCCCAUUAAAUAAACAACCUAGUAAGGGAAAAAGAUAGAAUAAACCUUACAUAAAGGCAUAUUGAGCAUAAUACUCUUAUAACUUAGAUAAACUAAAAUAAGUCACGGAUGCAUAAUCACUAGUCUGUUUUGAAUUCCAGUUGUAGCUUAUAAUAAUUAUAAAUAUAUAUAAGUCGCAAUGUUCGUCGUUUUUAAUCAAUCUAUUUUUAUGAUUAUACCCAAAUGUUUAUACUAGAAAUUUUGUCUGUAAUAAUUAAUACCACCUAAUAAUAUACAUCAAACUAAGUUAGUUGUUAACAAAGCAAUCAUGUUCAUAACUUUCUUUUGAAACCAGUCAUUUACUUUGAUUUAAAAUACAUAUUGGAAUAUAUGGUAUAAAGCUUGAAAACUUUGUGGUUUUAAUAACAUUGUUUCAAAUUAUUUUUAAAACCAAAGCUAUUAAAAUAACCGAAAGGAUUUUAAGAAUUAAAAUUUAAAAGAUUUCUUUAGUAGAUUGAGCCAAAGCAAGUUUUGAAACCCAGGUGUACCAAUUUAUCACUCCAUUUUAUCCCUUCUGGUUUGUAACCAAUUGACCAUGAGACUUCAUACUUUCAUAGUUUUAUAAAAUAACUGAUGUUGGGAUUACUUGUAAAGAUUUCUAUUAAAAUACUUAGCGAUAAAAUAAAUGGUUAAAUGAAUAUGAUGGGUAGUCAUGAUUAAAUAAAAUUAUUUAUUUUUUUUAGUUUGGGUUAGUUGGACUACGUAGAAAGGCCUAACUAAAUAUUAAAAACAUUUCUACAAAUCUUUAAGAUAUGUCCAGAAUAGGUCUUAUGCAUGGCAAUAAUUGAUAUAAGAUUAACCCGUCAUAUUAGUUAUAUGAUUGUGUAUCCUAAAUUAUAAAGAAAAAUAUUCAAGUCAGCUGAUUGAUAUAUAAUAGUUAAUUAGUAAAUGAGUUGAGUUGAUAAAUUGGAUGUUAAACUUACCUUAAGUGGUCUCGAAGUUCUCAUACUUUAAAAAGAUUAUAAUAAAGAUAAAAGAGAUGAGAUUGAAUUGUGAUUGGUUAAAUAAUGGAGAUGGAGAUUCUCAUAAAAUAACUGUAGUAAUAAAAUACCAGUGAUGUAACCGUGACACAGAUAAAUUUUAUAAAGUCGGUUACAUGAAUCUAUAAAAGAUCUAUUUAAUUAAAUACUUGAAAAAUAGAUCUCAAAUAUGUACAAAAUAAAGUAUUAAUCUUAACAUAUUUUGAAUAUAAAAUAGACAUACUUUGAUAGUAUGGGAUGAAGUACGUUACAUAAGGUUUGAAAAAAAAAAUCAAAUUUCUGAACAGAGGGCAAAAUCGUAAAUUAAUGUUAUGUGUUUUAAGUUUAUAAUAUAUAUUAAUAUUUAAUAUAUAUCCGUUACAUUGCUAUAACUAAAAUUUUCAAAUUACAGAAAGUAAUUUAUAUAUAGUAUAUAUAUAUCUCUGGGUAACCCAUAAAUACAAUGUCAUGAGUCACAAAUGCACAUAUUCUUCUAAAUGAUGCCUCUCAAUCUUAAAUGUAUGUUAUAAUUGAUUCUUGGAAAGAAAAAAAGGUAGGAAUGUGAUAAUUGGAAUAGAUAUAUAGAUGGGUACCUGAGGAAAAAUUAUUGAGGUAAUAUAAAUAAUGAGCCUGGUAUAGUUUAACCCAUUUGU